CAGGGGAUCGUAAGACCUUGCACUUUUGGAGCGGCCGAUGUCUGAUUAGCUAGUUGGUGGGGUAAUGGCCUACCAAAGCUUCGAUCAGUAGCUGGUCUGAGAGGACGGCCAGCCACACUGGGACUGAGACACGGCCCAGACUCCUACGGGAGGCAGCAGUGGGGAAUUUUGGACAAUGGGGGCAACCCUGAUCCAGCCAUGCCGCGUGAGUGAAGAAGGCCUUCGGGUUGUAAAGCUCUUUCAGCCGGAACGAAACGGUUACGAUUAAUACCCGUAACUACUGACGGUACCGGAAGAAGAAGCACCGGCUAACUACGUGCCAGCAGCCGCGGUAAUACGUAGGGUGCGAGCGUUAAUCGGAAUUACUGGGCGUAAAGCGUGCGCAGGUGGUUUUGUAAGUCAGAUGUGAAAUCCCCGGGCUUAACCUGGGAACUGCGUUUGAAACUACAAGGCUAGAGUGUGGCAGAGGGGGGUGGAAUUCCGCGUGUAGCAGUGAAAUGCGUAGAGAUGUGGAGGAACACCGAUGGCGAAGGCAGCCCCCUGGGUCAACACUGACGCUCAGGCACGAAAGCAUGGGGAGCAAACAGGAUUAGAUACCCUGGUAGUCCAUGCCCUAAACGAUGUCAACUAGUUGUCGGGUCUUAACGGGCUUGGUAACGUAGCUAACGCGUGAAGUUGACCGCCUGGGGAGUACGAUCGCAAGAUUAAAACUCAAAGGAAUUGACGGGGACCCGCACAAGCGGUGGAUUAUGUGGAUUAAUUCGAUG
rnacentral:rRNA from 1 species